UUGACUGACCUCGUUAAUCCCUCUCCCACAGCUGUUUAAAUAGAAAAAAAAAGAGGAGCGGACAAUCCGAGAAAGGAAUCUCCCAAAUCUGAGAGGGUUCCUAGGGUUCGCGAGAUCCAUACCCCGGGAUGGAUCCGAGCCCUAGAGCACCCCUCCUCCUCGUCGCCCUCGUCGCGUUCCUCGCGCUCGCCGCAUCCGGGGCGGCGGACGCUGGGGAUGAUGCGUCGGGAACCUCGCUGGGCCGCCGCGCCGGGGGAUUCUUGCACGACCUGAAGAAGGGCGCGGUGGUGGAGGGAGACCACGGGGUGGCGCUCGACGAGGUCGGACCGGGGCUGUUCGACGCGCUCUUCGCCAGCCUCUCCAUGAUCCUGGUCAGCGAGAUUGGAGAUGAGACCUUUAUCAUUGCUGCGCUGAUGGCGAUGCGACACCCCAAGUCAAUUGUGCUGUCCGGAGCACUCUCUGCGCUCUAUGUGAUGACGGUAUUGUCAACUGGACUUGGUAGAAUAGUGCCCAACUUGAUAUCAAGGAAGCACACUAAUAGUGCUGCUACAGUUUUGUACUUGUUCUUUGGACUACGGUUGUUGUAUAUUGCUUGGAAGUCUGACACGAAGGGAUCACAGAAGAAGGAAAUGGAAGAAGUGGAAGAGAAGCUUGAGUCAGGUCAAGGCUUUCAUCUUAACCUUUUUAGCGGAAUGGGGCGAUCGAAGCCAAAUAGCAACAAUCGCGCUCGCAACCCACAAGAAUGCAAUUGGAGUUGCAGUUGGAGCAUCAUUGGGGCACACAGUCUGCACGUCUCUAGCAGUGGUAGGAGGGAGCAUGUUGGCAUCCAAGAUUUCACAACGCACAGUUGCAACGAUUGGAGGUGUUCUCUUCUUAGGGUUUUCUGUUUCAUCGUACUUCUACCCUCCCUUGUGAUGAAAGGUACAAGCACCUCCUUCCACCUGGAUGGCAGCCUUCAGUCAUUUCUUGUCCUGCUGAAGCACCUCCUUCCACCUGGAUGGCAGCCUUCAGUCAUUUCUUGUCCUGCUGAACAGACAUUAUAAAUAUUAUAACCUCCUGCUGGCCGCUUAACAAAACAAAGACAAGUAAUUCAAAUUAUUCCAGCAUCCCUGAGUCAUUGAGCUCAAAUUCAUUUACAGUCCGUACAGAAUGACAGUGUUCUCUGCCAUGCUGCCUUGCUUCAGUCGUAUGUAGAAGCUGUUGCGCUGAGACCAUGGCCGUUUUUUUAGAUAAACAGCGAAUUUAUAUUAAGCAAGUGGCAGGGUCCCUGAAUGUACUUGUCAAGACGUUGCAAUGAAAGUCAUUCAACCAUGUUCUCCUGGUGAGGUAGCGUCUUUUUAUUUGGUGAUGGGGCUGGUGAAUUGGUGUCGGAUAUCAGCACUCUUUGCAUGAUAUGAUAGAUCUUCAGUGUUCAUACUUCCUGAGGGGUUGUAGUAUCAGUUGCAUCCUGUCCGUACGAUAGCGCUCCUAUACUUUCUGAGCUUCAACCUUGCCGUGAUGAUAUCAGAUAUAGUUUGCCAUCUAAGUUCCAAGCUCACUUCAAAUGUUAUAGUUUGCCAUCUUGGUUCCAAGCUCACUUCAAAUAUUACUUCUAGUAGCAAAAAUCUUAUGAAUAGACUUGAUUGCGACCCUUUCUUUGGCUUUUACAAAUGUAAGGAUGCUACUCAAAUGUGCCUUCACGGGCAAAUAUUUGUUGCCAGCAGCUAUGGAGUAUCACACUGCUGAACAGAUUACAGGUAAUGAAUAAUAUAAUAUGACUGAUCAUACUGAUGA